GCAGACACAUUCCAGCCAAUCAGCAGCAGACCCUCCCUCCCAGACCCUCCCACCUCCUGGACAGCAUCAAUUGUGAAGCUGCAUUCUUAGUGAGCUGUCCAGGAGAUGGGAGGGUCUGGGAGGGAGGGUCUGCUGCUGAUUGGCUGGAAUGUGUAUG